rnacentral:rRNA from 1 species
AAUCAACGCUGGCGGCGUGCCUCAGACAUGCAAGUCGAACGAGAAAGUUCCCUUCGGGGAAUGAGUAAAGUGGCGCACGGGUGAGUAACACGUAGGUAAUCUACCUUCGGGUGGGGAAUAACCCAGGGAACUUGGGCUAACACCGCAUAAUGCAGCGGCACCACAUGGUGACAGUUGUUAAAGCGGGGGAUUUUAGGACCUCGCGCCUGAAGAGGAGCCUGCGGCGGAUUAGCNGUUGGUAAGGUAACGGCUUACCAAGGCGACGAUCCGUAGCCGGCCUGAGAGGGGCGGUCGGCCACACUGACACUGACAUACGGGGUCAGACUCCUACGGGAGGCAGCAGUCGGGAAUUUUGGGCAAUGGGCGAAAGCCUGACCCAGCAACGCCGCGUGAAGGAUGAAAUCCCUCGGGGAUGUAAACUUCGACAAGAAUGGGAAGAAUUAGUAGGGCUAAUACCCCUAUGAUGACGGUACCAUUUGUAAGCUCCGG